GACCCAGCUAAGAUUCUGAACACAAAUAGCAGCAGCAGCAGUAGUAACAGUUUUUCAAAGACCCACAAGUUAACAAAGGAGCACAAGGAAAAAGCUUCUAAAGACUCAAAAGAACAUAAAAGUGCCUUCAAAGAACCUUCCAGGGAACACAACAAAUCUUCCAAAGAAUCCUCUAAGAAACCCAAAGAGAACAAGCCUCUAAAAGAUGAAAAAAUAGUUCCUAAGAUGGCCUUCAAGGAACCCAAACCCAUGUCCAAGGAGCCAAAAUCUGAAAACACCUCCAUCCUUACCAUAACAGGUGGGCAGCAGCAAGAAAAGAAGACCCCCACAAAAAGGCCCUCUGUUCUGGACUCUGAUGAACCUUCUGCAAAAAAAAGAAAAAAAAGUGGCUCGGAUUCAUUAUUUAAAAGCUUUUCUAGUGCCCCACCACUGAUUCUUACUUGUUCGGCUGACAAAAAGCAGACAAAGGAUAGAUCUCAACUCAAGGUGGGGAGAGUCAAAAUUGAAAAUGAUGCACUGGAAAGGAAGUCACUGACUCUGCCACCGUUUGAUGAUAUUGUAGAUCCUAGUGAUUCUGACAUGGAGGAAAACUUGUCCUCCAAAUCUGAA